GCGCUGUGAUUCGCUGGCAGUGAGGGCAGCGAGGACUUUUACAUAAUAUCAACCUGACUCUUAAUCAGGGUGUCCAGGGUUCGAAUCCCUGAUGGUGUACCA
rnacentral:tRNA from 1 species